UUCCACGGCUGAACAGGACAA
ensembl:piRNA 21ur-2834 ncRNA